GACGAACGCUGGCGGCGUGCUUAACACAUGCAAGUCGAACGGGAUCCAUCCCAGCUUGCUGGGAGAAGAUCUAGUGGCGAACGGGUGCGUAACACGUGGGCAACCUACCUCGGAGAUCGGGAUAACAGCUGGAAACGGCUGCUAAUACCGGAUAACCCUCUCGGAUCGCAUGGUCCGAGAGGCAAAUGUUCCGCCGCUCCGGGAUGGGCCCGCCGCCUAUCAGCUUGCUGGUGAGGUAACGGCUCACCAAGGCGACGACGGGUAGCCGACCUCAGAGGGUGAUAGGCCACACUGGGAGGGAGACACGGCCCAGACUCCGAAGGGAGGAAGCAGUGGGGAAUUUUGCGGUAUGGGCGAAAGCCUGACGCAGCAACGCCGCGUGGAGGAUGAAGGUCUUCGGAUUGUAAACUCCUGUCGGGAGGGACGAAGCGAAAGUGACGGUACCUCCAAAGGAAGCCCCGGCUAACUACGUGCCAGCCGCCGCCGUAA
rnacentral:rRNA from 1 species